CUCUGCAUCAGCUCCUGCUCCCUGACCUGCUUGAGUUCCAGUCCUGACUUCCUUUAGUGAUGAACAGCAGCAUGGAAGUUCUUACAAACUUUAAAAAGAAAUCCUGCUGGACUCUGAGGUCAGAACUGCUGGACUCUGAGGUCAGAACUGCUGGACUCUGAGGGUUCUAGGUGAGUGGAGGCUUUUAGACAGAAGCGUCAGCUACAGCCACAGCAUCCUGGAUGAGCCCCAUCUUCUCUGAUCCUGGAAGACACAGCUCUGCUGACAGGCUUCAUCUGCUGCUGGGCUACAAAGGAGAAGACCUGAAGCUCCCCUAUCACACUGCGAGGGAGGAAGCUUUGGAGGAUAUAUCCUAAGACUCCAAAGUAAUGAUGGACAUGUACCUAAGACUGGGUAAAUAUUAUUUAGGUGAUGGACACCAAUGGCUGAGUCAUCUUCGGCUGUGAGGACGGACUGGCACAGCAUAGUCCACACAACUGAGAAGCCAUGGAGAUUUAUUUCCCCCAGUUCUGAAGCUGAAGAGUUCAAAGUCAAGGUGUGCAGAUAUGGGACUGCUUCACAGCAGCUGCGAUUGGCCUCGUGCCCUAGCAGAGGCGUGGUUCUGCCAGCUGCCGAUGCUCUAGGUUGCACCAAUAUCCUCGGGCAUGGCUGGCUCAAGGCUCAAACAGUUGGGAUCUCGGCAGAAAUGGCCUGGCUUUCUGUUGCUCUGUCUCCUCAUCAGUUCUAGAAAGAUCCUGAUUGGCUCU
rnacentral:lncRNA from 1 species